UUGAAAGGCUAGAAUUAGUAAACAACAACUUUGUUUGAGUCCAACAUGUGCACAGGGGCAAGAGGGGUGUUUUGUUUACAAACAUAUUUGCCGAUUCUCUGUUGUCAAGUCGACGCAAAUUUUCAACGGAGGAAAUUUUUAGCUAUAUUUUAACAACCAUUAUAUCGUUAAUUUAACUUAUUUGUGUUGUAUUUUAUAAUAAAAUUUAAAAUAAAAAGUAUAAAUACUACAGUUAACCUAUUUUAAGAAUAAAUAUAAUAUCCUUAAGAAAAAAAAAACAAAAUGAUUAACAUUCUUAUCCCUAAAACUGCUUCUAAAAAAUUUGAAGCGACAACACCGGAGCUUAAGCGCCUGAGCCAUACGUGUAGUGUCAUCUGUCAAACGGCUUUUUGUUUAUUUUCGGAAUUCGUGUAUUUUCUUUAAUUUUCGGUUUCAAAAGGAAAAAGGCCACAUUUUAGUGUUUUUUUUAAUUGCUAGGAUGGGAAAAACUUGUGUCGUUCGUGCCGCAUCAUGAUAAAAAUGUGAUUCAAGCCGAUCUUUUCAGAAGAUCUCUGAUGCACUGGUUAAAAACACAGCAGCCGAUAAUUCAGUUAAUUUACCAAGUGAUUUACCCUUCAAAGCUGCAGGGGUAGCUUUCCUGAAGAGUGCAAAAACUUCUUUAGCUUCCAAAAUGGUAUAUAGUACAAACAGUGAAGCCAAUGUAGACAAAUCUGAUCAUUCAUCAUCAACAAUAACUGCAUCUGAGAUUAAUAGUUCUACAGUAACCGUGGGGUCUAGGUCAACAAUUACUAUUUCUCAUCCAAGCCGUUUUUGUU